AACGCACCUUGCGCUCCUUGGUAUUCCGAGGAGCAUGCCUGUUUGAGUGUCAUUAAAUUCUCAACCCAUCUGGCUUUUGAUAGUCAGUAUGUGGCUUGGAUGUGGGGGUUUUUGCAGGCUUUGAAUAAAGGUCUGCUCCCCUGAAAUGCAUUAGCGGAACGGUUUGCGAUCUGUCACUGGUGUGAUAAUUAUCUACGCCAAAGAUUAUGAACGCUCUCUGUCUGUUCAGCUCAUAACAGUCCCUUUAAUGUGGACAACUUUUGAUUGUUUGACCUCAAAUCAGGUAGGACUACCCGCUGAACUUAA
rnacentral:misc_RNA from 1 species